rnacentral:rRNA from 1 species
AGUGAACGCUGGCGGUAGGCCUAACACAUGCAAGUCGAACGGCAGCACAGUAAGAGCUUGCUCUUACGGGUGGCGAGUGGCGGACGGGUGAGGAAUACAUCGGAAUCUACUUUUUCGUGGGGGAUAACGUAGGGAAACUUACGCUAAUACCGCAUACGACCUACGGGUGAAAGCAGGGGAUCUUCGGACCUUGCGCGAUUGAAUGAGCCGAUGUCGGAUUAGCUAGUUGGCGGGGUAAAGGCCCACCAAGGCGACGAUCCGUAGCUGGUCUGAGAGGAUGAUCAGCCACACUGGAACUGAGACACGGGCCAGACUCCUACGGGAGGCAGCAGUGGGGAAUAUUGGACAAUGGGCGCAAGCCUGAGCCAGCCAUACCGCGUGGGUGAAGAAGGCCUUCGGGUUGUAAAGCCCUUUUGUUGGGAAAGAAAAGCAGCAGGUUAAUACCCCGCUGUGCUGACGGUACCCAAAGAAUAAGCACCGGCUAACUUCGUG